GCAGCAUAAUGGAUAGCAAUAUCUAUGGUGGCGACCGGCGCACGGGUGCGUAACGCGUAUGCAACCUACCUUUAACAGGGGGAUAACACUGAGAAAUUGGUACUAAUACCCCAUAAUAUCAUAGAAGGCAUCUUUUAUGGUUGAAAAUUCCGAUGGUUAGAGAUGGGCAUGCGUUGUAUUAGCUAGUUGGUGGGGUAACGGCUCACCAAGGCGACGAUACAUAGGGGGACUGAGAGGUUAACCCCCCACACUGGUACUGAGACACGGACCAGACUCCUACGGGAGGCAGCAGUGAGGAAUAUUGGUCAAUGGACGCAAGUCUGAACCAGCCAUGCCGCGUGCAGGAUGACGGCUCUAUGAGUUGUAAACUGCUUUUGUACGAGGGUAAACGCAGAUACGUGUAUCUGUCUGAAAGUAUCGUACGAAUAAGGAUCGGCUAACUCCGUGCCAGCAGCCGCGGUAAUACGGAGGAUUCAAGCGUUAUCCGGAUUUAUUGGGUUUAAAGGGUGCGUAGGCGGUUUGAUAAGUUAGAGGUGAAAUUUCGGGGCUCAACCCUGAACGUGCCUCUAAUACUGUUGAGCUAGAGAGUAGUUGCGGUAGGCGGAAUGUAUGGUGUAGCG
rnacentral:rRNA from 1 species